rnacentral:lncRNA from 1 species
AGAUAGAUAGCUACAUAAAUAGAUAAUAGGAAAAGAAGGAACAAGCAAAUUAUAAGGCACAUGGAUAAAAUAGGUGAAUCUGAGGGUUACAGGCAGGGCCAUUUCUACCAGUUUUAUUUUUGCAAGCUGUCUGUAAGUUUGAAAUAAUUUCCAAAUAAUGUUUUAAAAAGUUUCCAACAAAAAAAAUUCUAAAAUGGUGACAUAAGAAAUGAACUCUAGCCUCUGCCUUGAGUUGCCCAUGUUUGGGAUAGAAAGACUCCAACCCCCUACUGACGGCUGCAGAAUUUAGAAGGCAGUCUUCUCAACACAUCUAGUGAGAUGGGUUUACUAAAUAAUUUUUAAAAUUGCACAGGUGUGUCCAUUUCUUUUUUCCAUUCAUUUCAAAAACUGGGUAUAUUUCCUGUAUUUUAAAGUUGGAUGAAUCAGGGGUCAGGUAUUUGGCUUAGCAGUUAAGAUGCUGAUUAAGGCACUUAAGUCCUCUAUCAGAGUGCCUGGGUUUAAUUCCAUGCUCUGGCUCCUAAUUCCAGCUCCUGCCAGUGAAGACUCUGGGAGACAGUGUUGAUGACUUAAGUGGUAGGGUACCUACCACUCAUGUGGGAGAUCUGGGUUGAGUUCCCAGCUCUUAGCUCUGGCUAUUGCAGAUUUGGGGAGUGAACGAACAGAAGAGAAUUCUCUUUCUCUCCCUCUCUCUCUCUUCCUCUCAUAAAUAUAUAAAUAAGUAUUAAAGUUUAGUGAGUCAAGACAAACCAAGGUACCCAAUGAAGACUGAGAUUAAGGAAACAAACAGCACAUAUUUUCAGGAAAGCUGGGACCCCAACUGAAAAUCUGGCUCUAGCUUACGUCCUGGGAUGUAGACAGACGCACUUUGUUUCUUCCCAAUACAUCAUCUCAGGGGAGGAAAAGGUCAUGGGAAGGCUGCCUGCUGACAUCCACUUUGCAUUUUCAUUCUUCGAUCAACUUCUCAUGAGGUCAAGUGGCAAGGGCAGGUACUCCCUUCAGUCUGUAGCCUCACCCACCAGGAAGUGUCAGCCAAUCACUGUAGCCCUCUGGAUGCUGUCACCUCUUCCUUCAGGAAACUCUUCCAAGCCAGCGUUCCUCACUCCACCCAACAACAAACUUCCAGGUAAGCAUAAUACAAAAAUACUUUAAAAGUUUGUAAAAAGUGGACUUAAAAGAUAAGUUUAUUUUGGUGCAAAAUUAUUGCAAAAUUAUUGAGAAAAAGUUCACAGGAAAUGUAUAUUAUGAAGAAACCUGUGCAUAGAUUUAAAAAUAUAAUUAUAGCAAAAUAAACUUAUCCUUUGAUUCUAUCUGCCA